CUCCCCCCCCCUUUUUUUUUUUGUCAUUGCAAAUGAAAGCAAGGAGUAAUUUAAAUUACCAUGUUCCUGCUCUUUAAUAAGAAAUGGGAAAUUCUUAUAAAAUAGAGGGGCAGCUCUACAGGACUAAUGGAAGUUGCAUGUGAAUGUUGAACAGAAGGUGUCUUUUUUUCAGUCAUCAUUUUAAGGUUACUAAAGGAAAGAUAAGCCAGACUUCCCUCACCCUGCUAUUGCUCCUGAUGCACUGGACAUCUGUUUCACAUCCCAAGGAUGAUAACGGGCGCCAGAGGUGAGCAUUAUCCUGAAUUCUGGAAUAAGGACAAUAUAAAAAUGAAAUACUUUUUACUCAGCUUUUACUUCUAUGUAUUGCAAAAAGGAAAGGGCAGAGUAGUCCUCUUACACCCUGGAACAGUCCCCUGGCCGGUGCCAUCAGCACAGACAAAUGCUGACAAAGCUCAGGCCUGCCUGGUGCACUUUAAACAGGUCUCCUGUCAACAUUAUUAAUGUUUCUAAAUGAAAGGAGGUAAUGGGCACAGACCAUGCACCAGGCUUGAGGGAAGAAAAAGCUUAAUGAAAUGUAAUAACUUGUUAAAACUCCAUUGAUGUACAGUGAUCCUGUAGUUAAUUAAUGUUCAGAAUGGCUUAAUGCCACCAAUUCUUUGUUUAUAAGAAGGGGAGCAGGGCUAAGCCCAGGUGUACGUGUUGAGGUUUCUCUCGAUUUCAUCAGGUAAUUUGUUUUCAGGAUCUUUUCACCUUCAAUUACAGCAGUUAUAACUGCAGUAAACGUCUGACCUGGCAAAUAUCCCUCUAUUGUUGUAAAAUUGUAAUGCAGAUGCUGGGUGAAAGAAGGGAAUGCAUGUGCCUUCCCAAGACGUUAUGCAGGCUGAGUUGCUUGCAAGAGUCUCUGAUCCCUAACAAAUGCACAGUCCUCACCCAUUUGCUGCAAGCCCCUGCAGUAAGGGUUGGUGUGCCCCUGGAAUCACAGCCAUCACAAGCAAAGAGGAACACCGCUGCUGCUCAGGGGCGGUGACAUCCCAACAGCAGUUUCUGUUGUCUUCACUGCAGUCAGUAACAGAGCUCAUAUUAAUAACCAGUCUUAGUAGUUAUGGAGUAAAGCUUAGUACACAUUUCCAGGAAAGUGAUCUAGGGACAUACCUUCCUCAUCUUUUGGAAAUCAUCACAGAUCUGAGGCAUGAUCCUUUUCCUGUAAUUGACAAUCUCGUCCCAGACUCAUGGAAGCUUUGCUUAACAGCUUUGCUGUGAUACUCACCUCGGUAAAGUGGCAAACAGGCAACUCAUCUAUAUUACUUAGGGCAGAGCAGAUCAUCCUGCAAAUGGGUCGGCAGAGAAAGCCAUCUGCCCAGCACUAGUGGAAGCUUUUGGUAACUCAUGGCCUCUUGCUUCUGAGAUACAAAGGUGCCCAAACCCAUAAACCAGUCAAGGCAGUGACACAACUUCACUGUGUGGUCUGCCGAAAAUUUCUGUCCUGAUGCUCCCUGGAUUUCUCCCUAUACAACCUUGAAAGCAGAUGUCUGAAACUGCCAAUCCCCACACCCACUGUGCAGAGGUGACUAUCUCUCAGUGAGCCUCCGAGAUGGGUAUAUGACUUCCUGGCAAUACCAGAGCCAUCUCACGAUUCUGGUUCAAUGUUAAAAUGCCUACAAUCCACCUAUACACACACCGUCAGGAAAACGACUCUGAAACAGAGAGUAUUAAGUAAGUUUAACAUCAGGGAAUUGCUCAAACUUCUUGCUGGCUGCUGUCCAAAGUCACUGCACACUUAACUAUCUGCUGAAUAACCCCUAACGUGAUGCUUUCAGCUGCCCAGGAGCCAAGUUUCAUGCCACCAUGCUGUUGAUACCUGAGAGAAUUAACAGCAGAGUUGCUUCUUUCAGACGUCUCCUGGUCUGCCUACAGGGUCCUGUACAAUGUCCUGUGCCGAGUAUCACAGUACACCCCACAAUAUCAGCCUUGUCUUAUAAACACCUAUUAAACACAUCAUUAAAUAUUCUGUUAUAAUAUCUGCUCUAUCUGUUAAAAGUCACAAGUUUUACUUUCGGGAAGUAAUACUAAAGUCAGGCAUCUGUUCUGUAUUCUACAGUGCAGUGGGACUCGAAUUUUGAGGACAUCUCUCUGUAUUAAUCUUUCUUGCAGAGGUUUUUAUUUUUUUAAUUUACUUUUUUCUUUUAAAAAAAAAAAGCAUCUUUUUAGAAGCACAAUCCUCCUGAGAUGAAAAAAACUCCUCCCAGGUACAGCAGCUCACAAGCAGCUACAAUGCAAGUUCAGUAAGUCACUUUCAUAAUGAAAAGAACGUCCAUGUUCUGCACUAUUAAGUAGCCUAAGGAGGCUUUUAGUUACUGCAUUAUCUGAAGUAACAAUAGCCAAUUUAGGCGAAAAGAUUAUCUAGUUCAACUUGAUAAGAUUACUGUACCGAAAGAGAAGCCGCAGAGAAUUUUUUGUGGAGCUAUUAAGACACAAAAAGAAUCUUUACUUGCCAUUAAUAUUGUAAAGUUGAAAUUUGAGUUACUAAAAACACCAGGCAGCCUGCUCACCAGUUGUUGCACUUUAAGGGCAAACUUACCAUUCCCAAAGUCCAGUAAGUAGUUUCAGAAAUACAGGUUAUUGAACAGAAGUGAAAAACCCAAAUACCACAGCCAUUAAUGAAAGUUUCCUGAGAACUUCAAGGGGAAAAACACCAUAUGUUACAGGGCUAGAGCUGUCCCAAAAGAUAAUCCAUAACACAGAAAAUAUCUGAAAGAUGCAACUUUCCAGGCAAACAGGAAUCAUUACAAGCUUACAAUCAAAUGGAAUAAAUUUCCCAAAUGAGUUGUUUUCUUUGGACGUCUGUCCUCGAUUCUUUUUUCUCACACCACUUACUUAGGGUAGGUGUAAGUUAAAUGGAUAACUAGCAAUGUCAUGACUAAUAAAAAGAUUGUGGGAUCACUAGAAAUUAUAAGUUUAAGAACACAGUAUUGAAGAGGAAGAGAACGGGAAAUCUGAACCUACCUUUUCUUACAUUAACCCACACGGACAACAGAAGAGAUUUUACACUGGAAUCUGAAAGACUUUAAUGUUUUAAUACAGGUGGAAGCAUAAGACAGCUAUAUACAUUUUGUGCAACAUAUACACAAGCCUUCUCUUAACAAACAACAGCUCUAUCAUACUGGUGCAACUCCAGGUGAAUGUACUGCAUUCCACAAGUUCAGUACUAGAGACCACUGUUGUUUCUCAUUCUACUAAAAUAAUAAAUUAGAAAUUACAAAUUUAUGAUUUCUUUAAGAACAUACUGAAUCAGAUUUUCAAAAGUACAGUUUCAAGAGGGUCAGGUCACACUCAAUGUGAAUUGAGUUGUGAAAAUACUUUGAUUCUCAUGUGUUGCAAUACAGGCUCUGCUUAUAUAGACAUUUUAA